AUGAACGCUGGCGGCAGGCCUAACACAUGCAAGUCGAACGGUAACAGGAAGCAGCUUGCUGCUUCGCUGACGAGUGGCGGACGGGUGAGUAAUGUCUGGGAAACUGCCCGAUGGAGGGGGAUAACUACUGGAAACGGUAGCUAAUACCGCAUAACGUCGCAAGACCAAAGAGGGGGACCUUCGGGCCUCUUGCCAUCGGAUGUGCCCAGAUGGGAUUAGCUAGUAGGUGGGGUAACGGCUCACCUAGGCGACGAUCCCUAGCUGGUCUGAGAGGAUGACCAGCCACACUGGAACUGAGACACGGUCCAGACUCCUACGGGAGGCAGCAGUGGGGAAUAUUGCACAAUGGGCGCAAGCCUGAUGCAGCCAUGCCGCGUGUAUGAAGAAGGCCUUCGGGUUGUAAAGUACUUUCAGCGGGGAGGAAGGCGAUGAGGUUAAUAACCUCGUCGAUUGACGUUACCCGCAGAAGAAGCACCGGCUAACUCCGUGCCAGCAGCCGCGGUAAUACGGAGGGUGCAAGCGUUAAUCGGAAUUACUGGGCGUAAAGCGCACGCAGGCGGUCUGUCAAGUCGGAUGUGAAAUCCCCGGGCUCAACCUGGGAACUGCAUUCGAAACUGGCAGGCUUGAGUCUCGUAGAGGGGGGUAGAAUUCCAGGUGUAGCGGUGAAAUGCGUAGAGAUCUGAAGGAAUACCGGUGGCGAAGGCGGCCCCCUGGACGAAGACUGACGCUCAGGUGCGAAAGCGUGGGGAGC
rnacentral:rRNA from 1 species